rnacentral:misc_RNA from 1 species
AAUAAAAAAAAAAAAAAAACUCAAAAAUACGAAACUUAACUCAUCAAACUAUACCAAAACCGCUAAAGCUACCUCGCUCGCCAUGGAUUAAGAAAAAACAAAGAAGGAUAUAUCAUAGGAACCACAGAAGAAACGUUUCUUUAAAAAAAGUAAAAGCGGCGAUAUCUAGACCCAGCACGAUGAAGUCGACCAGGAUUCAAGCUGUAGCGGCUCGUAAAUCGAGGCAAUCGGAUCGACACUUGAGCAUCAGAUCGAGCACUCGAUAUUAAUCGACGGCCACCACAACCAACCAUCGAAGCAAAUUUUCAAGUGAGCAGAAGAAGAUUGGAGAGGGCGGAGAUGGAGCGGAGAGAAAUCCAACGGCGACGGUUUAAACAGUUUUUUUUUUUUUU